rnacentral:rRNA from 1 species
GUUGACCUCGGAUCAGGUAGGAAUACCCGCUGAACUUAAGCAUAUCAAUAAUCGGAGGAAAC